rnacentral:rRNA from 1 species
CCUACGGGAGGCAGCAGUGGGGAAUAUUUGGCAAUGGGCGCAAGCCUGACCCAGCAACGCCGCGUGAAGGAAGAAGGCUUUCGUGUUGUAAACUUCUUUUGUCAGGGAAGAAUAUAAGACGGUACCUGACGAAUAAGCCACGUCUAACUACGUGCCAGCAGCCGCUGUAAUACGUAGGUGUCACGCUUUAUCCGGAUGUACUGGGUGUAAAGGUCGUGUAGACGGGUUGACAAGUCCUAUGUGAAAUCCUGCGGCUUACCCGCCGAACUGCAUGUGAAACUGUUGAUCUUGAGUACUGGAGAGGCAGACGGAAUUCCUAGUGUAGCGGUGAAAGGCGUAGAUAUUAGGAGGAACACCAGUGGCGAAGGCGGGCUGCUGGACAGCAACUGACGGUGAGGCGCGAAAGCGUGGGGAGCAAACAGGAUUAGAUACCCUAGUAGUC